rnacentral:lncRNA from 1 species
GAUGUCGGAGAUAUACCUGGGGCGGCAGAUAUGCAACGUGGUGGCGUGUGAAGGAGCGGAGCGGGUUGAGAGGCACGAGACACUGAGUCAGUGGAGGAGUCGGAUGGGGUCAGCAGGGUUCGACCCGGUUCACCUGGGCUCCAACGCCUUCAAGCAGGCGAGCAUGCUGUUGGCUUUAUUCGCGGGUGGGGACGGGUACAGAGUGGAAGAAAAUAAUGGGUGUCUGAUGCUUGGCUGGCACACUCGUCCCCUCAUCGCCACCUCCGCAUGGCAACUCAACUCCAACUUCAACCCCACCUCCACCUCUGCCUCCACCUCUGCUCAUUCUCAGUGACAUUGGGUCUGGAUGGCAACGCCCUUUUACUACUCUUUCUUUCCCUCCUGAGUCUCUCUGACUUGACUCUCCAUUCCUGAUUUUUCUCUCUUCUUGCUAGAUUGUAAUCUAUUUGCUUAGAUAUUUUUCCUUUAAUUAUCAUAUCAGGGUGGACCG